AGAGUUUGAUCCUGGCUCAGAUUGAACGCUGGCGGCAUGCCUUACACAUGCAAGUCGAACGGUAACAGGUCUUCGGAUGCUGACGAGUGGCGAACGGGUGAGUAAUACAUCGGAACGUGCCCGAUCGUGGGGGAUAACGAGGCGAAAGCUUUGCUAAUACCGCGUACGAUCUACGGAUGAAAGCGGGGGAUCUUCGGACCUCGCGCGGACGGAGCGGCCGAUGGCAGAUUAGGUAGUUGGUGGGAUAAAAGCUUACCAAGCCGACGAUCUGUAGCUGGUCUGAGAGGAUGAUCAGCCACACUGGGACUGAGACACGGCCCAGACUCCUACGGGAGGCAGCAGUGGGGAAUUUUGGACAAUGGGCGAAAGCCUGAUCCAGCCAUGCCGCGUGCAGGAUGAAGGCCUUCGGGUUGUAAACUGCUUUUGUACGGAACGAAAAGCCUCUUUCU
rnacentral:rRNA from 1 species